rnacentral:rRNA from 1 species
CUCUCGGCAAUGGAUAUCUCGGCUCUUGCAUCGAUGAAGAACGUAGUGAAAUGCGAUACUUGGUGUGAAUUGCAGAAUCUCGUGAAUCAUUGAGUCUUUGAACGCAAGUUGUGCCCGAGGCCUUGUGGCCGAGGGCACGCCUGCUUGGGCGUCAUGGC